AACCAGCUCCUCAAGUGAUUCGGACUUUUACUGGGCCUAAAGCGUCCGUAGCCGGGCCUGCAAGUCUUCGGUUAAAUUCAGCGACCUAAUCGUUGAGCCGCGGGAGAUACUACUAGGCUAGGAGGCGGGAGAGGUCAACGGUACUUCCGGGGUAGGGGUGAAAUCCUAUAAUCCCGGGAGGACCACCAGUGGCGAAGGCUGUUGACUAGAACGCGCUCGACGGUGAGGGACGAAAGCUGGGGGAGCGAACCGGAUUAGAUACCCGGGUAGUCCCAGCUGUAAACGAUGCGAGCUAGGUGUUGGGGUGGCUACGUGCCACUUCAGUGCCGCAGGGAAGCCAUUAAGCUCGCCGCCUGGGGAGUACGGCCGCAAGGCUAGAAACUUAAAGGAAUUGGCGGGGGAGCACCACAAGGCGUGAAGCUUGCGGUUC
rnacentral:rRNA from 1 species